rnacentral:rRNA from 1 species
GACGAACGCUGGCGGCGUGCUUAACACAUGCAAGUCGAGCGGUAAGGCCCUUUCGGGGGUACACGAGCGGCGAACGGGUGAGUAACACGUGGGUGACCUGCCCUCAGCUCUGGGAUAAGCCUGGGAAACCGGGUCUAAUACUGGAUAUGACUCCAUGACGCAUGUUGUGGGGUGAAAGCCUUGUGCGGCUGAGGAUGGGCCCGCGGCCUAUCAGCUUGUUGGUGGGGUGANGGCCUACCAAGGCGACGACGGGUAGCCGGCCUGAGAGGGCGACCGGCCACACUGGGACUGAGACACGGCCCAGACUCCUACGGGAGGCAGCAGUGGGGAAUCUUGCGCAAUGGGCGAAAGCCUGACGCAGCGACGCCGCGUGAGGGAUGACGGCCUGGU